GAUGAACGCUGGCGGCGUGCCUAAUACAUGCAAGUCGAGCGAACAGACGAGGAGCUUGCUCCUCUGACGUUAGCGGCGGACGGGUGAGUAACACGUGGAUAACCUACCUAUAAGACUGGGAUAACUUCGGGAAACCGGAGCUAAUACCGGAUAAUAUAUUGAACCGCAUGGUUCAAUAGUGAAAGACGGUUUUGCUGUCACUUAUAGAUGGAUCCGCGCCGCAUUAGCUAGUUGGUAAGGUAACGGCUUACCAAGGCAACGAUGCGUAGCCGACCUGAGAGGGUGAUCGGCCACACUGGAACUGAGACACGGUCCAGACUCCUACGGGAGGCAGCAGUAGGGAAUCUUCCGCAAUGGGCGAAAGCCUGACGGAGCAACGACGCGUGAGUGAUGAAGGUCUUCGGAUCGUAAAACUCUGUUAUUAGGGAAGAACAAAUGUGUAAGUAACUAUGCACGUCUUGACGGUACCUAAUCAGAAAGCCACGGCUAACUACGUG
rnacentral:rRNA from 1 species